AACCCCAGUUAACAGACAUACGGCGUAAAGCGUGUUUAAGGGAAUCCCACAAAUAAAGCCAAACCCUGGCUACGCCGUAAAAAGCCCUAGCUACUGUAAGCCCCCUCACGAAAGUGGCUUUAAAAUGCCCAAAGACACGACAGCUAAGGCUCAAACUGGGAUUAGAUACCCCACUAUGCUUAGCCCUAAACCUGCAGAAUUCUACAUAACAAAAUUCUUCGCCAGAGUACUACGAGCCACCGCUUAAAACUCAAAGGACUUGGCGGUGCUUCACAUCCACCUAGAGGAGCCUGCUCUAUAAUCGAUAAACCUCGAUAAACCCCACCAACCCUUGCCACCC
rnacentral:rRNA from 1 species